rnacentral:rRNA from 1 species
UACAGAGGUCUCGAGCGUUAGGCGGAAUCACUGGGCUUAAAGCGUGUGUAGGCGGGUCGGUAAGUACCUUGUGAAAUCCCACGGCUCAACCGUGGAACUGCUGGGUAUACUGCCGAUCUUGUGCAACCUAGGGGCGAGCGGAACAGAUGGUGGAGCGGUGAAAUGCGUAGAUAUCAUCUGGAACGCCAAUGGUGAAAACAGCUCGCUGGGGGUUUGCAGACGCUGAGACGACGAAAAGCCA